GUGUCAGAAUGUUGGAUGGCUUCAUUUCACCUUGUUUGGUUCAUAGAACCAAAAUGUGUCAUCAGGCCAUCCUUGCCAGUUCUGUAGUUGCUUGCAUUUUUCAUGGAGAGUUCUUCUGACUUUUGGAUAGUCCAGGAGACAGAAGUGGCAGCUGUGGCACCAUUCCUCUUAGUUUCCGUUCAGUCAUUGUCUUAGGAGGCGAGGAGGUCAAGAAUAUAAUCUCUUUGUGGGGUCUGAAGAGCAUUGCUAACACUUUAACUCACUGGAGAAAUUGUGCAUAUGCAUUUGUACUGCAGGAAUCUAUUUUCCUCCCAGUGCAAAGUGAUGCCUUUUCUGGGGCUACCGAAAACAGACACCAGACAGAGUUAAG
rnacentral:lncRNA from 12 species